GCGGCAGUAGCUCACUGGUAGAGCCCCCGCUUGUCAUGCGGGGUGAUCUGGGUUUGAUUCCCGGCUGCUUCU
rnacentral:tRNA from 1 species